UACGUAGGUGGCAAGCGUUGUCCGGAUUUACUGGGCGUAAAGCGCGCGCAGGCGGACUGAUCAGUCUGGGGUGAAAUCUCCCGGCUCAACUGGGAGCGGUCCCUGGAUACUGUCAGUCUUGAGAGACCUAGAGGAGAGCGGAAUUCCCGGUGUAGUGGUGGAAUGCGUAGAUAUCGGGAAGAACACCAGUGGCGAAAGCGGCUCUCUGGGGGUUUUCUGACGCUGGGGCGCGAAAGCGUGGGGAGCGAACCGG
rnacentral:rRNA from 1 species